AGUGAACGCUGGCGGUAGGCCUAACACAUGCAAGUCGAACGGCAGCACAGUAAGAGCUUGCUCUUACGGGUGGCGAGUGGCGGACGGGUGAGGAAUACAUAGGAAUCUACUUUUUCGUGGGGGAUAACGUAGGGAAACUUCCGCUAAUACCGCAUACGACCUACGGCUGAAAGCAGGGGAUCUUCGGACCUUGCGCGUUUGAAUGAGCCGAUUUCGGAUUAGCUAGUUGGCGGGGUAAAGGCCCACCAAGGCGACGCUCCGUAGCUGGUCUGAGAGGAUGUUCAGCACAAUUGGAACUGAGCCAGGGUCCAGACCCCUACGGGAGGCAGCGGUGGGGAAUAUUGGCAAAGGGGCGCAAGCCUGCUCCAGCAAGACGGCGUGGGUGAAGAAGGCCUCCGGGUUGUAAAGCCCUUUUGUUGGGAAAGAAAAGCAGCAGGUUAAUACCCCGCUGUUCUGACGGUACCAAAAGAAUAAGCACCGGCUAACUUCGU
rnacentral:rRNA from 1 species